AUUGAACGCUGGCGGCAGGCCUAACACAUGCAAGUCGAGCGGAUGAAGGGAGCUUGCUCCUGGAUUCAGCGGCGGACGGGUGAGUAAUGCCUAGGAAUCUGCCUGGUAGUGGGGGAUAACGUCCGGAAACGGGCGCUAAUACCGCAUACGUCCUGAGGGAGCAAGUGGGGGAUCUUCGGACCUCACGCUAUCAGAUGUGCCUAGGUCGGAUUAGCUAGUUGGUGGGGUAAAGGCCUACCAAGGCGACGAUCCGUAACUGGUCUGAGAGGAUGAUCAGUCACACUGGAACUGAGACACGGUCCAGACUCCUACGGGAGGCAGCAGUGGGGAAUAUUGGACAAUGGGCGAAAGCCUGAUCCAGCCAUGCCGCGUGUGUGAAGAAGGUCUUCGGAUUGUAAAGCACUUUAAGUUGGGAGGAAGGGCAGUAAGUUAAUACCUGGCUGUGUUGACGUUACCAACAGAAUAAGCACCGGCUAACUUCGUG
rnacentral:rRNA from 1 species